rnacentral:rRNA from 1 species
CCUACGGGAGGCAGCAGUGAGGAAGAUUGGUCAAUGGGCGCGAGCCUGAACCAGCCAAGUAGCGUGAAGGAUGACGGCCCUACGGGUUGUAAACUUCUUUUAUAAAGGAAUAAAGUGAGGCAAGUGUGCCGUUUUGUAUGUACUUUAUGAAUAAGGAUCGGCUAACUCCGUGCCAGCAGCCGCGGUAAUACGGAGGAUCCGAGCGUUAUCCGGAUUUAUGGGGGUUAAAGGGAGCGUAGAUGGGUUGUUAAGUCAGUUGGGACAGUUUGGGGCUCAACCGUAAAAUUGCUAUUGAUACUGGCAGUCUUUCGUACAGUUGCGGUAGGCGUACUUCGUGGUGUAGCGG